rnacentral:rRNA from 1 species
UGGGGAAUAUUGCACAAUGGGCGAAAGCCUGAUGCAGCAACGCCGCGUGAGUGAUGAAGGUCUUCGGAUUGUAAAGCUCUGUCUUUUGGGACGAUAAUGACGGUACCAAAGGAGGAAGCCACGGCUAACUACGUGCCAGCAGCCGCGGUAAUACGUAGGUGGCGAGUGUUGUCCGGAUUUACUGGGCGUAAAGGGUGCGUAGGCGGAUGUUUAAGUGAGAUGUGAAAUACCCGGGCUUAACUUGGGUGCUGCAUUUCAAACUGGAUAUCUAGAGUGCAGGAGAGGAGAAUGGAAUUCCUAGUGUAGCGGUGAAAUGCGUAGAGAUUAGGAAGAACACCAGUGGCGAAGGCGAUUCUCUGGACUGUAACUGACGCUGAGGCACGAAAGCGUGGGUAGCAAACAGGAUUAGAUACCCUGGUAGUCCACGCCGUAAACGAUGAGUACUAGGUGUAGGAGGUAUCGACCCCUUCUGUGCCGCAGUAAACACAUUAAGUACUCCGCCUGGGAAGUACGAUCGCAAGAUUAAA